rnacentral:rRNA from 1 species
AUACGGAGGGAGCUAGCGUUGUUCGGAAUUACUGGGCGUAAAGCGCGCGUAGGCGGCUAUUUAAGUCAGAGGUGAAAGCCCGGGGCUCAACCCCGGAAUUGCCUUUGAGACUGGAUAGCUAGAAUCCUGGAGAGGUGAGUGGAAUUCCGAGUGUAGAGGUGAAAUUCGUAGAUAUUCGGAAGAACACCAGUGGCGAAGGCGGCUCACUGGACAGGUAUUGACGCUGAGGUGCGAAAGCGUGGGGAGC